CUUCUAUAUGCUCAAGAACUUUUAGUCCAAUUAAACUUAGAGAUUGUGAGAAAACCUCCAAAAUUUGCACUGAUGUCAUUCAGCUGCCAACUUGAAAAGUGAAGUAGAAAUCUUAACAGUGAUUUCUCCCUUUCCAACCAUUAACUUUGUCUCAAAUUUGGUGCAUAGCUUGAUCUUCAAGUCGUUCAAUACCACACUAAUUUUAACUUUAAUCCGACUGAGAGAUCUUUAGAUAUCAUAGAAAUCCUAUCCAACCUCAAACUGCUACCUUCUAAAAUCCUCUUGUGCUAAAAACUAGAUAUCUCUAAACCACGUUGUUAGAGUAUUACAAACUGUUGUAUAUACUUAGCACACCUAAUAAUCCAAAUAGUAUCAAAUUUUCAAUUGUAGAUGUUAUACCAAUUGCACGAACUAGCCAAAGUUGCUAGCUCUAAUUACAUAAUAUAAAAUCCAAAUCACUUAUACAAACCCUGACUUCAAACAACAAUUGCUAAGUCUUCCAAAACCCUCUCAAAAUAAUUCUCAUGGCUGUGAAAAGAACUUCAAGCUAACUCUCAAACUCCAACCUCCAAGCUUCAAAUGAUCCCCUAACUUGCAUUCAAUGGUCAUUUUAGUGACCAGAGGUGUGGUUUCGACCUUGUUUCACAAAUAGUUGACCUUUGAGUAUCAAUCUAACUUAUCCUAAGGAUUUGUUAGCCCAAUUCUAUCCUUAACUUGAUCCUAGUAUCAAUCAUAUCAACCACUUACUUCUUCUACCCUGAUUUUAUUAAUUUAUGGUCUUUCUCAAGUAGUAGAAGAGUCUCUAUAAUCUAGAAGGUAAAAUUACUAACUAACCUUCAAACUACUAACUAUUAAGAUAAGAAAAUAACUUAAGAGGCUUUUAUGAAAGCUAUUUUUAGAUACCUC
rnacentral:lncRNA from 1 species